AGAGUUUGAUUAUGGCUCAAGAUGAACGCUAGCGGCAGGCUUAACACAUGCAAGUCGAGGGGCAGCGGGGAGGAAGCUUGCUUUCUCCGCCGGCGACCGGCGCACGGGUGAGUAACACGUAUGCAACCUGCCCCUGUCAGGGGGACAACCCGCCGAAAGGCGGGCUAAACCCGCGUACAUGCCACCGGGGCAUCCCGGAGGCAGGAAAGGCUUCGGCCGGACAGGGAUGGGCAUGCGGCGCAUUAGGCAGUAGGCGGGGUAACGGCCCACCUAACCGACGAUGCGUAGGGGUUCUGAGAGGAAGGUCCCCCACACUGGUACUGAGACACGGACCAGACUCCUACGGGAGGCAGCAGUGAGGAAUAUUGGUCAAUGGUCGGGAGACUGAACCAGCCAAGCCGCGUGAGGGAGGAAGGUACAGAGUAUCGUAAACCUCUUUUGUCAAGGAACAAAGGCGGGGACGUGUCCCCGGAUGAGUGUACCUGAAGAAAAAGCAUCGGCUAACUCCGUGCCAGCAGCCGCGGUAAUACGGAGGAUGCGAGCGUUAUCCGGAUUUAUUGGGUUUAAAAGGUGCGCAAGCGGUCUGUUAAGUCAACGGUCUAAGCCCGGGGCUCAACCCCGGCCCGCCGU
rnacentral:rRNA from 1 species